rnacentral:rRNA from 1 species
GAUGAACGCUGGCGGCGUGCCUAAUACAUGCAAGUCGAGCGAACGGACGAGAAGCUUGCUCCUCUGAUGUUAGCGGCGGACGGGUGAGUAACACGUGGAUAACCUACCUAUAAGACUGGGAUAACUUCGGGAAACCGGAGCUAAUACCGGAAAAUAUAUUGAACCGCAUGGUUCAAAAGUGAAAGACGGUAUUGCGGUCACUUAUAGAUGGAUCCGCGCUGCAUUAGCUAGUUGGUAAGGUAACGGCUUACCAAGGCAACGAUGCAUAGCCGACCUGAGAGGGUGAUUGGCCACACUGGAACGGAGACUCGGUCCAGACUCCUACGGUAGGCAGCAGUAGGGAAUCUUCCGCAAUGGGGGAAAGCCUGACGGAGCAACGCGGCGGGAGUGAUGAAGGUGUUCGGAUCGGAAAACUCUGUUAUUAGGGAAGAACAAAUGUGUAAGUAACUGUGCUCAUCUUGACGGUACCUAAUCAGAAAGCCACGGCUAACUACGUG